GNAGACGCUGGCGGCGUGCUUACACAUGCAAGUCGAGCGGAGUAACCCAACGGAAGUUUUCGGACGGAAGAUGGAAUUACUUAGCGGCGGACGGGUGAGUAACGCGUGGGCAACCUGCCCUGUACAGAGGAAUAACAUUGGGAAACCAGUGCUAAUACCUCAUAUACCCUUCGGGUGGCAUCACCUGAAGGGGAAAGAUUUAUCGGUACAGGAUGGGCCCGCGUCUGAUUAGUUAGUUGGUGAGGUAACGGCUCACCAAGACGAUGAUCAGUAGCCGACCUGAGAGGGUGAUCGGCCACACUGGAACUGAGACACGGUCCAGACUCCUACGGGAGGCAGCAGUGGGGAAUAUUGCACAAUGGGGGAAACCCUGAUGCAGCAACGCCGCGUGAGCGAUGAAGGCCUUCGGGUCGUAAAGCUCUGUCCUAAGGGAAGAUAUAGACGGUACCUUAGGAGGAAGCCCCGGCUAACUACGUGCCAGCAGCCGCGGUAAUACGUAGGGGGCAAGCGUUAUCCGGAAUUACUGGGCGUAAAGGGUGCGUAGGCGGUCUAAUAAGUCAGAGGUGAAAGACUAUUGCUCAACGAUAGCAAGCCUUUGAAACUAUUGGACUUGAGUGCAGGAGAGGAGAGUGGAAUUUCUAGUGUAGCGGUGAAAUGCGUAGAUAUUAGAAGGAACACCCAGUGGCGAAGGCGACUCUCUGGACUGCAACUGACGCUGAGGCACGAAAGCGUGGGGAGCAAACAGGAUUAGAUACCCUGGUAGUCCACGCCGUAAACGAUGAGUGCUAGGUGUCGGGGGUCAAA
rnacentral:rRNA from 1 species